UUGGAGGGCAAGUCUGGUGCCAGCAGCCGCGGUAAUUCCAGCUCCAAUAGCGUAUAUUAAAGUUGUUGCAGUUAAAAAGCUCGUAGUUGAAUUUCGGGAUCAAUGGGUCGGUCGUGCCAAUGGUAUGUACUGGCCUCAUUGGUUCUCACCUUCUAAGGAACCAUGAUGUCAUUUAUUUGAUGUUGUGGGAAAUUAGGACUGUUACCUUGAAAAAAUUAGAGUGUUUAAAGCAGGCUAACGCUUGAAUACAUUAGCAUGGAAUAAUGAAAUAGGACAUCCGAUUCUAUUUUGUUGGUUUCUAGGAUCGAUGUAAUGAUUAAUAGGGAUAGUUGGG
rnacentral:sRNA from 1 species